CACCGCUUCUCGUCGGCUAAGUCGGUUCUUAAAUCACGUCGUGGAGCAGAGUGCCUCCUUCCAUUAUUCCCACCGUCGUUACGACCCUAUAAUUCGGUUGCGAUCGUAAUGAUUGGUUGCCGUGCCCACGUUUGCCUUCGACUUGAUCGCGACCUACCUAUUGGUCGGGGUCGACGCCGACUCCGAUCUUUCCCUCCUCUUCUCCUCCCAUCGUCCUCCUCCUUCUCCCUCCUCUUCGCCCAGCGUGAUUGAUCUUCCUUCUUCCGGGCCUCCCGGUGGUGACCACCACCGGCCCCAUCAAGGCGCCUGCGAUCGCGUACAGAUCCAUGAUCCCCUUCGUCUCCGCCGCCCCGCCAAGUACGAGGACGUCCUCAAGGCCAAGGAUUCGACGCCCUGCUCGACAUCCAGACCCAUCCCGAUCUGCUUCCGCAGGCACUCCACCAUACCCUAACUUGUCUUCUUGAUUCUUGAUUCUUGAUUGUUCUGUUUCCGUCUGUUCCUAGGGACUGACGCGUCGAUGAGGGUGAGAAUGUGCCCAUGAGGGGCUCUUCUUGGUCCAAUCGAUGUGCCUAUUUGGGUGACGCACGGAUGCAGACCGUCGAGAUCUGCUUGUCAUCUUGAUUCGUUAUUAUUCUGUUGCCGUCUCAUGUUUCUUGUUUCUCAUCUUGAUUCGUUAUUAUUCUGUUGCACGGAUGGAGGAACGUGUCGAUGGGGGUGGCAAUGUGCCCCUGUGGACGGUGGCUGAAGCUCUCCCCAAGACUUCUUGGGUAAAAUCUUGUGGGUACUGAAUCUUGGACCCUUAGCUUGUAUUCUUGAUUCCUGAUUCUUUUGUCGCCGGUCCCUUCUUGUUUCUUGGGUGGAACGUGUCAAUUGGUGUGGGACUGUGCCUCUGCGACUCGUGGCAGAAGCCACCCGUGACUUCUUCGGUCGAUGUAUGGGAACUGGAUCUUGGACCCAUAGAUGCAUUCCACAUAGAUCUGCUUCCACACGUAUCGCAACAAGCCCUAGAUCUUGGACCUAUGGAUGUCGUUAAAGAUCGAUCGAGAUCUCAAUUGACGAAGGUGAUGUGCCGACUCUCUCUGUUCCUGAACUCCAUAUCUUGACUAUGGUGGUUGACGUGGUGUUUCUUGUCUCGAGGGUUAUCAUGAUGGCGACAGGGAGAAGCUUUCCUAUUAUGGCGGCAUGACGACCUUUGCCUCGUAUUGGUGAUGGUAAUCAUCCUUCUAUUGGUAUAUAAUCCUGCUAAAUUCUUGCUGAAAACUUUUGAGCUCAUAAAUUCUGAUGUGCUAGUCUGUAAUUUUUGCUGUAAUGUAUAUUAUAUUUCACUUUUUAUGAUCAUCUGUUUACUCUUCUCUUGUUUGAACCUAGUGAUGUUUGAUAUGCAUACCUGCUAAAAGUAAGUCUAGUCUGAGCAGAUAAGCUAGUAUAGAAGUAAGUUUAGGUUUGAAUGUGUAAGCUAUUACAGAAGAACACAGGUGUUCAUCAUUGGUUCAUAACAGUUCGUGAUCUUCUUGUGGAGUCACUAUUGGUCUUUGAGGAGCUAAACUGUUUAGAGGAUAUAAAUAAUUAACUUCAAAUUGUAAAAGGAGAAUGGUUUGAAGAUAUUUAAUUUUCAAUGUUUUUUAUCAAUGUUUUUUAUCAACCUUUUGUGCUAAUAAUUCUAUAUCAAUGUUUUUUUUAGCUAAGGAUAGCUUAUGUGUUAUUUUAAGCAUUUCCAAGCACUUCACCUAAUUAUUAUUUGGACUCUGAACCUCUUUUUCUGAAUCAUCAAUAUUUCAGUGUGUUUUUUUGUUAAUAUUGCUUGGAUAUUUGUUUGAUCUUUUAUUGUCUUUCCAUUAGUUUAUACUUAUUUUAAUGUUGGGUUAGUGGUGCUCACACUGUGUCAACUUGUAAUUCUAUACUUCUUUAUUUCUUUUCCUAGUUUCUCUUACAACAACAUUCUGUCCAACAGUUGAUAUAUAUGGCAGAACAACAGUACUUGCUCUGUUUCUGAACUUCAUAUAAGAUGUGUACCAUAAAUACUUUUCUUAUUGUUAUAUUGCUGAUCAUUGUUUGUCAGCAUACAUUUCACUAGAUUGCUAUAAAAUUCUUAAAACAACUUGAUAUCCUAAUUUUGCAAUCCAUUAGCCAUUAUUCUCUAUCCAUCUAACAACUUUAGUUAUUUACAUUUUUUGAUCUGGGUGAUUGUACACCCUAUGAACUUAUACGAUCAACUUUAGUCCUUUUCUUAGUGAAUUUAUUAUUAACCCAAAAAAGACUACUUGAUUAAAGUCUGUCUAUAUAUUCCUGAUGUCAUGAAACUAAUACCAUAGCGGACCCUUCAGAUAUCUAAUAGAAUACACGCAGGACACAACCUUUGAUUUUCCCUGCAUGCUUCGUAGCUUGUAUGUUUCAUUUAGUGUGUUUGCAAGUUGUUUUAGUAGGUUGAAUUUUUGUUUACAAAAUUUUGUACCUCUACAUGACUUUAGCUUAUAGAGUUUCCAAAAGAUCUUUGACAACUUUCUCGUAAUGAAUUUACCUGUAGAUGUCUCGUUCUUUGACCUCUAGGUUUCUCUAUGCUUCAUUGCUGUAUUCUAUUAUGACUUAAAUGACCAAUGCUGCUGCUUAUGACAUUUUUUUACAAGUAUUUUCUUAUAUUAUGCAGUUCAUUUUAGUAAGGAUAUUAUUGUUACACAUAUUGCUCUUGUACAUAGUGCGUAAUAAAUAUAGGGAAAUUGUGCUUCAGGUACUAACACCUAGAAGUAGAGCUGAUUAACGAGAAGGUAAAAGGUGCCAUCUAAGCUUAUCUGAAUAUAACAUGAGUUAGAAAAUGAUGACCAUAUUUUGACGAUAAAACAUUAAUGAAUUUACUAACUGAUUAUGAAGGCAUUUUUCAUCUUAGUUGCUACAAGGAUUGUAGAUAUGUUAUAUCACCUAGUCAUUUUCAUGUUAGAACUAGACAAAAGCAGAAUAUUCCUCUUGAAAUGAUCUUUAAUUUGGUGAAUCUUAUUGUCAAAACAAGUAAGUUUGUUCAGCAAUGGAACUCAAUACACGCACACACACAAAAAGGGAUUGGAAUGCCUGCCAAUGGAUGUAUGCAGUGCUAUUCUUUGGGUAUUUGUGCUUAUGCGAAGAGAAAACCAGUUGGUAAAUAGAAAAUGCGUUUACAAAUCUGCGUGCAUUUAGUUUGAAUUUACUCUACACCAAGGCAGACGUUCUUUUCUGGGACUUGGGUUUAGUCUUGAUUUAGUUGAACUUAAGGUUGAGGUUCUUUUCCCAGUUAAUUUGAAUUAAUUUGAGUGCUUCACAAUUUUUAUCCAGAAGAAAUAAGAGUUGAUUUGCGUUCCUUUUGAUAAAAUUUAAUAUAGAAUCAAAAAAUGUAAAAGAUAAAAUGUGCUAAAGAUGACAGAUAGGCUCGAAAUUUUAGCAUUUUUUUCUUUGAAGAAAGAAAUGAAAGGUCAAUUAAAAUUUUAUUUGAAGCGAGUGAACAGGUUACAGGUCUCUGUGGCAUAUCCUCUUGGAAGAAGACUUCGUCGCUGGUUUUUUAAUAUCAACUUGCCAUAUCACCGUGCUUUUUACUUGAUGAGGACGCAGACAGAAGAGACUGCUCGAUAUUUGUAACAGCGCGAUAAUUUCACCCGACCAUCGCGAGCUUUUGACACCCAAAGGAAUUAUGUGUUGUAGCAAAAGCUGUUUAGUUGUUUCUUUAUUUCCUUCCUGAACAUCAGAUUUAGGUGAAUUUUCGGAAAAAGCUUUUUUUUUUUGUUUU